CAGUCGCCGCGGGAAUACGUAGGGCGCGAGCGUUGUCCGGAAUUAUUGGGCGUAAAGAGCUCGUAGACGGCUGGUCGCGUCUGUCGUGAAAUCCUCUGGCUUAACUGGGGGCUUGCGGUGGGUACGGGCCGGCUUGAGUGCGGUAGGGGAGACUGGAACUCCUGGUGUAGCGGUGGAAUGCGCAGAUAUCAGGAAGAACACCGGUGGCGAAGGCGGGUCUCUGGGCCGUUACUGACGCUGAGGAGCGAAAGCGUGGGGAGCGAACAGGAUUAGAUACCCCGGUAGUCCCUGUCUCUUAUAC
rnacentral:rRNA from 1 species